rnacentral:tRNA from 1 species
GCUGGUGGUGCAAACGUUUAAGCACUCAACUGUUAACUGAAAGGUUGGUGGUUCAAACCCACCUAGCAGCU